rnacentral:rRNA from 1 species
CCUACGGGUGGCAGCAGUGAGGAAUAUUGGUCAAUGGGCGCGAGCCUGAACCAGCCAAGUCGCGUGAGGGAAGACGGUCCUAUGGAUUGUAAACCUCUUUUGUCGGGGAGCAAAAGACGCCACGCGUGGCGUUCCGAGAGUACCCGAAGAAAAAGCAUCGGCUAACGCCGUGCCAGCAGCGGCGGUAAUACGGAGGAUGCGAUCGUUAUCCGGAUUUAUGGGGUUUAAAGGGUGCGCAGGCGGAAGAUCAAGUCAGCGGUAAAAUUGAGAGGCUCAACCUCUUCGAGCCGUUGAAACUGGUUUUCUUGAGUGAGUGAGAAGUAUGCGGAAUGCGUGGUGUAGCGGUGAAAUGCAUAGAUAUCACGCAGAACUCCGAUUGCGAAGGCAGCAUACCGGCGCUCAACUGACGCUCAUGCUCGAAAGCGUGGGGAGCAAACAGGAUUAGAUACCCGGGUAGUC